GACGAACGCUGGCGGCGUGCUUAACACAUGCAAGUCGAACGCGCCUGUCCUCUGGGUUUCUGGGGGGGGGGUGAGUGGCGCACGGGUGAGUAACAUGUGAGUAACCUGCCCCCUUCUUCGGGAUAACGGUCUGAAAGGGCUGCUAAUACCGGGUAUUCACUGGUCUCCGCAUGGGGUCUGGUGGAAAGGUUUUUUUCUGUUGGUGGAGGGGUUCGCGGCCUGUUGGCUGGUUGGUGGGGGACUGGCCCACCGAGGCUUUGCCGGCUAGCCGGCCUGAGCGGGGACACUGUAACAUUGGCACGGAGAUGAGGCCCAGACUACUACGGGAGGCAGCAGUUGGGACUAUUGGACAAUGGGCGCAAGCGUGAUGCAGCGACGCUGCGGGAGGGCUGGAGGCCUUCGGGUUGUGAACCUCUUUCGCCCGUGGUCAAGCCGAGACGUGGGUCGUGGUGAGGGUAGUGGGUAAAGAAGCGCCGGCUAACUACGUG
rnacentral:rRNA from 1 species